AUUGAACGCUGGCGGCAGGCUUAACACAUGCAAGUCGAGCGGGGUGAUGGUGCUUGCACUAUCACUUAGCGGCGGACGGGUGAGUAAUGCUUAGGAAUCUGCCUAUUAGUGGGGGACAACAUCUCGAAAGGGAUGCUAAUACCGCAUACGUCCUACGGGAGAAAGCAGGGGAUCACUUGUGACCUUGCGCUAAUAGAUGAGCCUAAGUCGGAUUAGCUAGUUGGUGGGGUAAAGGCCUACCAAGGCGACGAUCUGUAGCGGGUCUGAGAGGAUGAUCCGCCACACUGGGACUGAGACAAGGCCCAGUCUCCUACGGGAGGCAGCAGUGGGGAAUAUUGGACAAUGGGGGGAACCCUGAUCCAGCCAUGCCGCGUGUGUGAAGAAGGCCUUAUGGUUGUAAAGCACUUUAAGCGAGGAGGAGGCUCUUUUGGUUAAUACCCAAGAUGAGUGGACGUUACUCGCAGAAUAAGCACCGGCUAACUCUGUGCCAGCAGCCGCGGUAA
rnacentral:rRNA from 1 species